AGCGAGCUGAGGAGGAGCAGUCUGGGAAGAAGAGACAAGGUCUCACUAUGUUGCCCUGGCUGGUCUGUAACUCCUGGCCUCAAGCAGUCCUCUUAUCUCAGCUUUCCAAAGUGCUGGGAUUACAGGAGUGGCGUGCUGUGUGGAUAAUGAAUAUUGGGGAAGGCAUCUCUCUCCAGCCCCUCUCAAGCUUUCUGUAGUCACUGGUCCACUCUGUAUUGCUAUGAAGAAGCUCAAGACCAGCCUGUAUCACUCGGGGUCCUGGCAGGAACCAGGUGCCACACUCAAACUGAGUAAUUGAAGAGGGUUUAAUAUGGGAGUUAUUUACAUAGGUGUGGGCUGGUGUAGCUGCCCAUAUGCCCUCAAAAUCACCUCUACAUGGCAAUAGCUACUUACUGCUAACAGAGUCUCUCUCUCAUUGCUGCAAAUAUUUUCUAGCCAUGCAAGAAACUCAGCCGGUCAUGUUGAACAAACUAAGAGUGCCAGGAAGUUAAUGUCCUGGAAGCAUUGCCAGAGGGGAGGGGGCAGUUAGAUUCCCCAGCUUCCUCGCUCCUCUGCUGGGUUAAGCCUGCAACAUAUUCAUCAUCUCCCAGAGUGCUGCCCAGGGAUAGAGCUCCAGGUGCUCAGUGUGGUGACCUGCUCAUGUCAGCUUCUUCCCCUUUCCUGUCUUGUUUCGCACCCACAUCCUUCCCAUGUUUCCUCUUCCCAAAUAAACUACUUGCAUUGAAA
rnacentral:lncRNA from 10 species